GAACGAGUGGCGGACGGGUGAGUAACACGUGGGUAACCUGCCCUUAAGUGGGGGAUAACAUUUGGAAACAGAUGCUAAUACCGCAUAAAUCCAAGAACCGCAUGGUUCUUGGCUGAAAGAUGGCGUAAGCUAUCGCUUUUGGAUGGACCCGCGGCGUAUUAGCUAGUUGGUGAGGUAACGGCUCACCAAGGCAAUGAUACGUAGCCGAACUGAGAGGUUGAUCGGCCACAUUGGGACUGAGACACGGCCCAAACUCCUACGGGAGGCAGCAGUAGGGAAUCUUCCACAAUGGACGCAAGUCUGAUGGAGCAACGCCGCGUGAGUGAAGAAGGCUUUCGGGUCGUAAAACUCUGUUGUUGGAGAAGAAUGGUCGGCAGAGUAACUGUUGUCGGCGUGACGGUAUCCAACCAGAAAGCCACGGCUAACUACGUGCCAGCAGCCGCGGUAAUACGUAGGUGGCAAGCGUUAUCCGGAUUUAUUGGGCGUAAAGCGAGCGCAGGCGGUUUUUUAAGUCUGAUGUGAAAGCCCUCGGCUUAACCGAGGAAGUGCAUCGGAAACUGGAAAACUUGAGUGCAGAAGAGGACAGUGGAACUCCAUGUGUAGCGGUG
rnacentral:rRNA from 2 species